GACCAGACUCCUACGGGAGGCAGCAGUGGGGAAUAUUGCACAAUGGGGGAAACCCUGAUGCAGCGACGCCGCGUGAGUGAAGAAGUAUUUCGGUAUGUAAAGCUCUAUCAGCAGGGAAGAAAAUGACGGUACCUGAUUAAGAAGCCCCGGCUAACUACGUGCCAGCAGCCGCGGUAAUACGUAGGGGGCAAGCGUUAUCCGGAUUUACUGGGUGUAAAGGGAGCGUAGACGGUGAUGCAAGUCAGAAGUGAAAGCCCGGGGCUCAACUCCGGGACUGCUUUUGAAACUGUGUGACUGGAGUGCAGGAGAGGUAAGCGGAAUUCCUGGUGUAGCGGUGAAAUGCGUAGAUAUCAGGAGGAACACCGGUGGCGAAGGCGGCCUGCUGGACUGCGACUGACGUUGAGGCCCGAAAGCGUGGGGAGCAAACAGGAUUAGAUACCCCUGUACUC
rnacentral:rRNA from 1 species